UGUAGUGAGGCCCAAUGGUUUGAGGGUUGGACUAUAACUCUGGAGACCGGGGUUCAAUUUCCAGCUCUGCCA